rnacentral:sRNA from 1 species
AACAGUUAAUAUAAAAGUGAACUAAAUGGCUCAAACUAAGGACAAGAGGUACGUUAGUGAAGAAUGUAUUGAAUAUUUAUUUGACUCUACACUGAUAAUAAUUAGAUAUAGUUAUUUGAGUUUGUGCUAAUCCUUAUUUAUGCUUCUUUGAUAGUCCUUUAGUGAAGAAGAUUCAUUUAAAAAAUGUUCAUCUGAAGUUGAAGCUAAAAAUAAGAUUGAAGAACUACUUGCUAGUCUUCUAAACAGAGUAUGCCAAGAUGGAAGGAAGCCUCAUACAGUGAGAUUAAUAAUCCGUCGGUAUUCCUCUGAGAAGCACUAUGGUCGUGAGAGUCGUCAGUGCCCUAUUCCUUCACAUGUAAUUCAGAAGUUAGGGACAGGAAAUUAUGAUGUGAUGACCCCAAUGGUUGAUAUACUUAUGAAACUUUUUCGAAAUAUGGUGAAUGUGAAGAUGCCAUUUCACCUUACCCUUCUAAGUGUGUGCUUCUGCAACCUUAAAGCACUAAAUACUGCUAAGAAAGGGCUUAUUGAUUAUUAUUUAACGCCAUCAUUAUCAACAACUUCACGCUCUGGCAAGCACAGUUUUAAAAUGAAAGACAGUCAUAUGGAAGAUUUUCCCAAAGACAAAGAAACAAACCGGGAUUUCCUACCAAGUGGAAGAAUUGAAAGUACAAGAACUAGGGAGUCUCCACUAGAUACCACAAAUUUUUCUAAAGAAAAAGACAUUAAUGAAUUCCCACUUUGUUCACUUCCUGAAGGUGUUGACCAAGAAGUCUUCAAGCAGCUUCC